rnacentral:rRNA from 1 species
UACGAAGGGGGCUAGCGUUGCUCGGAAUCACUGGGCGUAAAGCGCACGUAGGCGGAUUGUUAAGUCGGGGGUGAAAUCCUGGAGCUCAACUCCAGAACUGCCUUCGAUACUGACGAUCUCGAGUCCGGGAGAGGUGGGUGGAACUCCGAGUGUAGAGGUGAAAUUCGUAGAUAUUCGGAAGAACACCAGUGGCGAAGGCGGCUCACUGGCCCGGUACUGACGCUGAGGUGCGAAAGCGUGGGGAGCAAACAGG